rnacentral:rRNA from 1 species
AGAGUUUGAUCAUGGCUCAGGAUGAACGCUAGCUACAGGCUUAACACAUGCAAGUCGAGGGGAAACGACAUCGAGAGCUUGCUUUUGAUGGGCGUCGACCGGCGCACGGGUGAGUAACGCGUAUCCAACCUGCCCAUCACUUGGGGAUAACCUUGCGAAAGUAAGACUAAUACCCAAUGACGUCUCUAGAAGACAUCUGAAAGAGAUUAAAGAUUAUCGGUGAUGGAUGGGGAUGCGUCUGAUUAGCUUGUUGGCGGGGUAACGGCCACCAAGGCGACGAUCAGUAGGGGUUCUGAGAGGAACGGUCCCCCANAUUGGAACUGAGACACGGUCCAAACUCCUACGGGAGGCA